UUCCGGUUGAUCCCGCCGGACCCCACUGCUAUCGAGAUGGGACUAAGGUAUGCUAGUCGAACGACCAGAACUAUGUCUGGAAGUGGCACACUGCUCAGUAACACGUAGCUAACCUACCCUUAGGACGUGGAUACCCCCGAGAAAUUGGGGUUAAUCCGCGAUAGAUGUAAUGUCCUGGAAUGGUAUUACGUCUAAAGGUAUUUCAUACAUGUUUGAAAUAUGCCUAAGGAUGGGGCUGCGGCCGAUCAGGCUGUUGGUGAGGUAAUGGCUCACCAAACCUUUGACCGGUACGGGCCAUGAGAGUGGUAGCCCGGAGAUGGACACUGAGACAAGGGUCCAGGCCCUAAGGGGCGCAGCAACCGCGAAACCUCCACAAUGCACUCACGUGCGAUGGGGCUAUCUCGAGUGCCACCUGAUGAAGGUGGCUUUUCCUUGGUCUUCAAAGCCUUGGGAAUAAGAGGGGGGCAAGACUGGUGUCAGCCGCCGCGGUAACACCAGCCCCUCGAGUGGUGGGGAUGAUUAUUUGGCCUAAAGCGUCCGUAGCCGGCCGGGUAAGUUUCCCGUUAAAUCCAACGUCUCAAGCGUUGGACCGCGGGAGAUACUACAUGGCUAGAGAGUGGGAGAGGUCAGCGGUAUUCUGGGGGUAGGGGCGAAAUCCUUUGAUCCCCGGAGGACCACCAGUGGCGAAGGCUGCUGACUAGAACACGUCUGACGGUCAGGGACGAAAGCUGGGGUAGCGAACCGGAUUAGAUACCCGGGUAGUCCCAGCCGUAAACGAUGCAUGCUAGGUGUUGGGUUGGCCACGAGCCA
rnacentral:rRNA from 1 species